GACAGGCGCAGCAAGUCACUCCCAACAUCCCAUCCCUCAUCUGAGCCCGCGGGAAUAGAAGGGGUGAGAGUGGGCUUAAGGUGUGGCCGGCCGUUCGAGGAAGGUAGGACUACAACUUGUCGAAGGGAGAAGGCACCGGAGGUAGGAGACUGAAACCCACGCUCGCCGGAGAAACUUGAGCUCUAGAUCCACGGGUGUUCGGCAGUCGACUUCGGAUGGAUACAAACUGAAGAGGAAAGUCGAACGAAGGGAGAACGCCAAGUUGCUAUGCGUUUGCGGGCGGACGAUCUACGAGAUUUGAGGAGGAUUGUGGGCGUCGGAAACGAAUCAGAGGGCGAGCCGACGACGAGCAUGAGUUAGGCAAAUUUUGGAACCCUCGGGAGAUGCAAAUCCGAACAAAAAGUGUCACACUUUUCAGGUAAGUGGCACCUCGAAACCUUGGAUUUAACUAUGCUCAUAAUAUGCAUGAAAUUUUGAUAUAAGAAUCUAUGAGUUGAGAUGACACAUGAUGAAUGUGAGUAUGUAUGUUCGCUGAAACUUUUCUGAAACGCGUAUGCAACCACCUUAUGAGCUGAGAUUCAUGACUAGCUUUCCAUUAUUAGAUCAUUAAGUUAUGCCUCCGUCACGCAUGUUACAGUAUUAGCGGUUAUCCGGGGACGAUUGGGGGUUCGCCAACUAACCCCAACCGUAAACCUAACUCGAUUGUCAGGGGUCCGCGUAACCAUAGAACUGGUCAUUUUAUUGUUGAUGGUACCUUAUGGGGACUUAUAGGAAGUUUGCUAGUUAAUUUUCUAUUAGUGAACCUGUCACGAGUGACAGGGGUCCACGUUGGAACAUUAGAGAGUUGGUCAAGAGAUAUUGCUCAUGCCUAUGAGUUAGCAGUUAUCCGGGGAUGAUUAGGGGUUCGCCAACUAACCUCUAAUCGUAAACCUGACUCGAUUGUCAAGGGUCUGCGUAGCUAUAGAACUGGCCAUUUUAUUCUUGAGGGUACCUUGUGGGGACUUGUGGGAAGUUUGCUAGUUAAUUUCCUAUUAGUGAACCUGUCACGAGUGACAGGAGUCCAUAGUGGUACAUUAGAGUUGGUCGAGGUGAUAUUGCUCAUGCCUAUGAGUUAGCGGUUAUCCAGGGACAUUUAGUGGUUUGCUAACUAACCUCUAAUCGUAAACCUGACUCGAUUGUGAGGGGCCCGCGUAACUAUAGAAUUGGCCAUUUUAUUCUUGAGGGUACCUUGUGGGGACUUGUGGAAAGUUUGCCAGUUAAUUUUCUAUUAGUGAACCUGUCACGAGUGACAGGGGUCCACAUUGGUACAUUAGAGUUGGUUGAGAUUUAUUGUUCAUGCGUAUGAGUUAGUGGCUAUUCGGGGACGAUUAGGGGUUCGCCAACUAACCUCUAAUCGUAAACCUGACUCGAUUGUGAGGGGUCCGCGUAACUAUAGAAUUGGCCAUUUUAUUCUUGAGGGUACCUUGUGGGGACUUGUGGGAAGUUUGCCAGUUAAUUUCCUAUUAGUGAACCUGUCACGAGUGACAGGAGUCCACAUUGGUACAUUAGAGUUGGUCGAGAUUUAUUGUUCAUGCGUAUGAGUUAGUGGUUAUCCGAGGACGACUAGGGGUUUCGCUAACUAACCUCUAAUCGUGAACUUGACUCGAAUGUCAGGAGUCUGCGUAACUAUAGAACUGGUCAUUUUAUUGUUAAUGGUACUUUGUAGGGACUGAUAGGAAGCUUGCCAGUUAGUUUCUUUUAAGUGAACUUGUCACGAGUGACAGGGGUCUACAGUAGUACACUUGAGAGUUGGUCGAUUCC